rnacentral:rRNA from 1 species
GACGGAGAGUUUGAUCCUGGCUCAGGGUUAACGCUGGCGGUGCGCAUAACACAUGCAAGUCGAGCGAGGGUUCAUUUCCCGCAAGGGAGAUGAAUUCCUAGCGGCGAACGGGUGAGUAACACGUGGGCAACCUUUCCUAUCGCGGGGGAUAACAGCGGGAAACCGCUGCUAAUACCGCAUGUCGUCACCGGUCGCAUGGCCGGUGAAGAAAGCAGCAAUGCACGAUGGGGUGGGCCCGCGGCCUAUCAGCUAGUCGGUGGGGUAACGGCCUACCGAGGCGAUGACGGGUAGCUGGUCUGAGAGGACGACCAGCCACACGGGGACUGAGACACGGCCCCGACUCCUACGGGAGGCAGCAGUGAGGAAUCUUCCGCAAU